GACGAACGCUGGCGGCGUGCCUAAUACAUGCAAGUAGAACGCUGAAGGAGGAGCUUGCUUCUCCGGAUGAGUUGCGAACGGGUGAGUAACGCGUAGGUAACCUGCCUGGUAGCGGGGGAUAACUACUGGAAACGAUAGCUAAUACCGCAUAAGAGUAGAUGUCGCAUGACAUUUGCUUAAAAGGUGCAACUGCACCACUACCAGAUGGACCUGCGUUGUAUUAGCUAGUUGGUGAGGUAACGGCUCACCAAGGCAACGAUACAUAGCCGACCUGAGAGGGUGAUCGGCCACACUGGGACUGAGACACGGCCCAGACUCCUACGGGAGGCAGCAGUAGGGAAUCUUCGGCAAUGGACGGAAGUCUGACCGAGCAACGCCGCGUGAGUGAAGAAGGUUUUCGGAUCGUAAAGCUCUGUUGUAAGAGAAGAACGAGUGUGAGAGUGGAAAGUUCACACUGUGACGGUAUCUUACCAGAAAGGGACGGCUAACUACGUG
rnacentral:rRNA from 1 species